rnacentral:rRNA from 1 species
AACGUAGGUUCCGAGCGUUAUCCGGAUUUACUGGGCGUAAAGCGCGUUCAGGCGGUUUGGCAAGUCGGGCAUGAAAUCUCUCGGCUCAACCGGGAGAGGUUGUCCGAUACUGCUGGACUUGAGGGCAGUAGAGGGUGGUGGAAUUCCCGGUGUAGUGGUGAAAUGCGUAGAGAUCGGGAGGAACACCAGUGGCGAAGGCGGCUCGCUGGGCCGGACCUGACGCUGAGACGCGAAGGCGUGGGGAGCGAACGGG